AGCAGCCGCGGUAAUUCCAGCUCCAACAGCGUAUAUUAAAGUUGUUGCAGUUAAAAAGCUCGUAGUUGAAUUGAGGGAUUGACGUGACGGUCGUGCCUUACGGGGUAUGAAUGAACUGUUGCUGUUGAUUUUUCUCACCUUCUGGAGAAACUUGAUGUCCUUAAUUGGGUGUCUUGCGGAUCCAGGACCUUUACCUUGAAAAAAUUUAGAGUGUUUAAAGCAGGCAUUUUGCUCGAAUACAUUAGCAUGGAAUAAUAGAAUAGGACGGCAUGGUUCUAUUUUGUUGGUUUCUAGGAUCACCGUAAUGAUUAAUAGGGAUAGUUGGGGGCAUUAGUAUUCAAUUGUCAGAGGUGAAAUACUUGGAUUGUUGAAGACUAAUUACUGCGAAAGCAUUUGCCAAGGAUGUUUCAUUAAUCAAGAACGAAAGUUAGGGGGAUCGAAGACGAUCAGAUACCGUCGUAGUCUUAACCAAUAAACUAUGUCGACUAGGAAUCAGACGAUGUUAAUUUUUUAAUGAUUC
rnacentral:misc_RNA from 1 species